rnacentral:tRNA from 2 species
GCCCUCGUAGUUCAACGGAUAGAACGAGCGCCUCCUAAGCGCUAGAUGCAGGUUCGAUUCCUGCCGGGGGCA